UUUAAAUUUACAAUUCAUAUUCAAUAAAAUUAAAAAAUUAAUAUUAAAUUUUAAUCUAAAUUCAAUCAACUAAUUAAUGUUCUAAUUUUUAUUAAUUAUAAUUUACAUAUCGAUCUAUCAUUAAAUUUUAAUUAAACACAUAAAUUAUAAUUUAAUAACCCAUUAACAACUAUAUAUAUAAAAUAAAUUAAUUUAAAUUCAUAGAGUAAUUUCUAUUUAAAAAACAAGAUUCUUUAAUAAUUAAAUACCGCCAAAUAAGUUAACUUUAAUACUAAUAUAUUAAUCAUAAUAAAUUUCAUUAAUCUACUAGGGUAUCUAAUCCUAUUAAUUUUAACCAACUAAAAUUAAAAAUUAAAAAUUAAAUUAACAAAAAUUAAUUUCACCUAUAAUUAUUAACUAAAAUCAAACCAAAAUUUUUAAAUCUUAAAUUAACUUAAAUCUUGCUAAUCAUGUA
rnacentral:rRNA from 1 species